rnacentral:lncRNA from 1 species
UGCAUGUCCAAUCAGAAAACAAAAGGAUAUGAAAGAGAUACAAAUUAGAAAGGAGGAUUUCAAAAUAUCACUGUUUGCAGAUGAUGAGAUAGUAUACUUGAGUGACCCCAAAAGAUCACCCAGAGAACUAUUAAGCCUGAUAACCAACUUCAGCAAUGUGCUGUGUACAAAAUUAACUCAAACUAAUCAGUAGCCAUCUUCGACUCAAAGGGUAAACAGACUGAGAAAGAAAUUAAGGCAACAACACCCUUCAUAAUAGUCACAAACAACAUAAAAUACCUCGGUGUGACUCUAUGCAAGUAAGUGAAA